rnacentral:rRNA from 1 species
UACGGAGGGGGCUAGCGUUGUUCGGAAUUACUGGGCGCAAAGCGCGCGUAGGCGGACCUGCAAGUCGGGGGUGAAAGCCCGAGGCUCAACCUCGGAACUGCCUUCGAUGCUGCGGGUCUCGAGUCCGGGAGAGGUGAGUGGAACUGCGAGUGUAGAGGUGAAAUUCGUAGAUAUUCGCAAGAACACCAGUGGCGAAGGCGGCUCACUGGCCCGGUACUGACGCUGAGGUGCGAAAGCGUGGGGAGCAAACAGG